rfam:Spongiibacter sp. IMCC21906, complete genome.
ACACUAUCAGCAUGUUCCGCUGCUCCGCCAGCGACAUGCCCAGGUAGCCACGAUCCUUAAGGCUACGGCGCGGUUCCGACCGCGUUGAUCGUCCCAGUUCGCCCAGGCAUCCCGCGCGCGAACGCUCAUCGUUUCGAUGAUGGAUGC